UCACUAUCACUGACCAACCAGGUGAGGUUAUAUACUACUGUCACUAUCACUGACCAACCAGGUGAGGUUAUAUACUACUGUCACUAUCACUGACCAACCAGUUAAGAGGUUAUAUACUACUGUCACUAUCACUGACCAAUCAGGAGAGAGGUUAUAUACUACUGUCACUAUCACUGACCAACCAGGUGAGGUUAUAUACUACUAUCACUAUCACUGACCAACCAGUUAAGAGGUUAUAUACUACUGUCACUAUCACUGACCAACCAGGAGAGAGGUUAUAUACUACUGUCACUAUCACUGACCAACCAGGAGCGAGGUUAUAUACUACUGUCACUAUCACUGACCAACCAGGAGAGAGGUUAUAUACUACUGUCACUAUCACUGACCAACCAGGUGAGGUUAUAUACUACUGUCACUAUCACUGACCAACCAGGAGAGAGGUUAUAUACUACUGUCACUAUCACUGACCAACCAGGUGAGGUUAUAUACUACUGUCACUAUCACUGACCAACCAGGUGAGAGGUUAUAUACUACUGUCACUAUCACUGACCAGCCAGGAGCGAGGUUAUAAACCACUGUCACUAUCACUGACCAACCAGGUGAGAGGUUAUAUACUACUGUCACUAUCACUGACCAACCAGGAGCGAGGUUAUAUACUACUGUCACUAUCACUGACCAACCAGGAGAGAGGUUAUAUACUACUGUCACUAUCACUGACCAACCAGGUGAGGUUAUAUACUACUGUCACUAUCACUGACCAACCAGGAGAGAGGUUAUAUACUACUGUCACUAUCACUGACCAACCAGGUGAGGUUAUAUACUACUGUCACUAUCACUGACCAACCAGGAGAGAGGUUAUAUACUACUGUCACUAUCACUGACCAACCAGGUGAGGUUAUAUACUACUGUCACUAUCACUGACCAACCAGGUGAGAGGUUAUAUACUACUGUCACUAUCACUGACCAGCCAGGAGCGAGGUUAUAAACCACUGUCACUAUCACUGACCAACCAGGUGAGAGGUUAUAUACUACUGUCACUAUCACUGACCAACCAGGAGCGAGGUUAUAUACUACUGUCACUAUCACUGACCAACCAGGAGAGAGGUUAUAUACUACUGUCACUAUCACUGACCAACCAGGUGAGGUUAUAUACUACUGUCACUAUCACUGACCAACCAGGAGAGAGGUUAUAUACUACUGUCACUAUCACUGACCAACCAGGUGAGGUUAUAUACUACUGUCACUAUCACUGACCAACCAGGAGAGAGGUUAUAUACUACUGUCACCAUCACUGACCAACCAGGUGAGGUUAUAUACUACUGUCACUAUCACUGACCAACCAGGUGAGGUUAUAUACUACUGUCACUAUUACUGACCAACCAGGAGCGAGGUUAUAUACCACUGUCACUAUCACAGACCAACCAGGUGAGAGGUCAGGGUCCAGGGUGUAUCACAUGUUGUGAAAAAAGAAAGAAAGAUACCUGUAUAUUAUUUUGAUCGUUUCAUAGUUUUAAUAUAACAGUGUUUCUUUGGAUCUUCGUCAGUUCACAGGAUAGCGUCGCACAACAGGUCCCGGACAUUAUUAUCUUGGGUGUUGAGAACAUGGGUAACAGCCUCAUUUGAGGUUAGAAAGCCAGCCAUUACUUCCUCCUCUGUAAGAUGGCCAUUACACACUUCCUCUCUCGUUGC